rnacentral:rRNA from 1 species
AAAAUAACAAUGAUUUCCUUAGUAACGGCGAGUGAACAGGAAAAAGCUCAAAGUUGGAACCUGUUUGGCCUAGCUAAACCGGAUUGUAAACUGUAGAAGUGUUUUCCAGGCAAGCCGGACCGAUAAGUCCUUUGGAACAGGGCAUCAUAGAGGGUGAGAAUCCCGUCUUCGGUCUGAGCAUUUGCCUUUUGCGAUACACUUUCAAAGAGUCAGGUUGUUUGGGAAUGCAGCCUAAAUUGGGUGGUAAAUCUCACCUAAAGCUAAAUAUUGGCGAGAAACCGAUAGCGAACAAGUACCGUGAGGGAAAGAUGAAAAGAACUUUGAAAAGAGAGUUAAACAGUAUGUGAAAUUGUUAAAAGGGAACCGUUUGGAGCCAGACUGGCUUGUCUGUAAUCAGUCUAAGCUUCGGCUUGGAUGCACUUGCAGGCUAUGCCUGCCAACGACAAUUUGGCUUGAGGGAAAAAACUAAGGGAAAUGUGGCCCAUCCGUGGGUGUUAUAGUCCCUUAGAAAAUACCUUGGGCUGGAUUGAGGUACGCAGCGAAUGCUAUUUGGCGAGUUGGCUGGGAAUAUUUUCUGAGGUGCUCCGGUACUGAGGUUGAUAUUUCCAGUUACACUUCUAUUCGCUUAGGUUGUUGGCUUAAUGACUCUAAAUGAC